rnacentral:lncRNA from 1 species
AGAGUUGGUCUUGAUGAUUAUGUGCUUAUGUCACACUAUAUAUACCUAUAUCAUAGAUGGAAUAGGGUACGAGGAUUCCCCAACCUUCUACGAUAUCUCUAGUUUAUGUAACUAACACGUAUUGUGGCCCGACCAGGGGGAGACAACUGAACCUAGGGUAGUUUUAUGAUGGUCAAGCUACACAGUCUAGGCUAAUGAUUUAAAGUUCAUACUAAACCUUGUUCCCUCUCCUAGUAUCCUACAUAUAUAUAUAUAUGUAUGUGUAAAUGGGUAUUGAUUUUGGACUUGUUUUGGAAUUAUGGCAUUAUUUUGUCCCCUUAUCCCUGGGUUACAUACUAGCAUUAAACCCUCUAACCA